GGCGACGACGACAACGACGAAGAAGAAGAAGAAAUGGCGGAGGCGAUCGCGGAGGCCGCCAUAUUUUUUUUAGUGGGAUUGCUGUGUAAAUUCGAUGGAUUUGGGAUUUUGAGGUGGAAUUAUUAUUCGAGCAAAGGUAUGUUCAUCUCCACUUCUUUUUUUUAGCUCAAUUCUUUUUUUUUCUGGGAGUUAUUAUUAUUAUUAUUAUUUUUUGUUGGUCUAAUUUAGCAUUGCCAAGGAAGCAGAGGAAUCAGAUUUGGGCCAAUAGAAGUUGGAGAGGCUUAUCUCUUCAUUCUCCAGGAUGGGGCCACUACAGAGCCUUGAAAUAACUGUAGCCAUGAAAAAGGUGCUCCUCUCCUAACCAUGAAUAAAUCAUUCUCUUUUUUUUUUUUUUAACAUUAUUUUACUUUUAGCAAAAUGUGCUGAUAAAUCCUAAACUUGUCUUUCAUAGUCUUAGUUCUUUGAUUUUACAUCAAAGGACUUAGCAGUAUUAGAGCUCUUUGUGUUUCCAGCACCUACAAGGCUUUUGUAUAUAUUGCUAACUACCAACUACAAAUACACAUAUUCUGUGUGCUUGGAUAAAGUUUACAUCCCUGAGAAACAUUAAUGAUUUUACAUGGAUCAUGAAGCAUCGUUUCGAAGACAUGCUUCCUUUCUAUCUUCAUUUCCUCCUUUCUACACAUCCUUCUUCCCUAGCAGCAUUUCUCGAACUACAUGCAAUUCCUUGAUGACAUCUCCAAUCAGCAUUCGCUCAGCGGGGAAUUGCUUUGAACACAUGAGGCCGACUCUAAGCAAUGAAACUAUGCACUGAAAUGCUUUUCCGCCAGUCGAUUCCUUCUCUUCGAAAGCUUCGUCUUCAUCAUCUGC
rnacentral:lncRNA from 1 species